GAUGAACGCUGGCGGCGUGCUUAACACAUGCAAGUCGAACGGUGAAGCAGAGCUUGCUCUGUGGAUCAGUGGCGAACGGGUGAGUAACACGUGAGCAAUCUGCCCCGGACUCUGGGAUAACAGUUGGAAACAGCUGCUAAUACCGGAUAUGAGACGUGACCGCAUGGUCGACGUUUGGAAAGAAUUUCGGUUCGGGAUGAGCUCGCGGCCUAUCAGCUUGUUGGUGAGGUAAUGGCUCACCAAGGCGUCGACGGGUAGCCGGCCUGAGAGGGUGACCGGCCACACUGGGACUGAGACACGGCCCAGACUCCUACGGGAGGCAGCAGUGGGGAAUAUUGCACAAUGGGCGGAAGCCUGAUGCAGCAACGCCGCGUGAGGGAUGACGGCCUUCGGGUUGUAAACCUCUUUUAGCAGGGAAGAAGCGAAAGUGACGGUACCUGCAGAAAAAGCGCCGGCUAACUACGUGCCAGCAGCCGCGGUAAUACGUAGGGCGCAAGCGUUAUCCGGAAUUAUUGGGCGUAAAGAGCUCGUAGGCGGUUUGUCGCGUCUGCUGUGAAAACCCGAGGCUCAACCUCGGGCCUGCAGUGGGUACGGGCAGACUAGAGUGCGGUAGGGGAGAUUGGAACUCCUGGUGUAGCGGUGGAAUGCGCAGAUAUCAGGAAGAACACCGAUGGCGAAGGCAGAUCUCUGGGCCGUAACUGACGCUGAGGAGCGAAAGGGUGGGGAGCAAACAGGCUUAGAUACCCUGGUAGUCCACCCCGUAAACGUUGGGAACUAGUUGUGGGGUCCAUUCCACGGAUUCCGUGACGCAGCUAACGCAUUAAGUUCCCCGCCUGGGGAGUACGGCCGCAAGGCUAAAACUCAAAGGAAUUGACGGGGACCCGCACAAGCGGCGGAGCAUGCGGAUUAAUUCGAUGCAACGCGAAGAACCUUACCAAGGCUUGACAUAUACGAGAACGGGCCAGAAAUGGUCAACUCUUUGGACACUCGUAAACAGGUGGUGCAUGGUUGUCGUCAGCUCGUGUCGUGAGAUGUUGGGUUAAGUCCCGCAACGAGCGCAACCCUCGUUCUAUGUUGCCAGCACGUAAUGGUGGGAACUCAUGGGAUACUGCCGGGGUCAACUCGGAGGAAGGUGGGGAUGACGUCAAAUCAUCAUGCCCCUUAUGUCUUGGGCUUCACGCAUGCUACAAUGGCCGGUACAAAGGGCUGCAAUACCGUGAGGUGGAGCGAAUCCCAAAAAGCCGGUCCCAGUUCGGAUUGAGGUCUGCAACUCGACCUCAUGAAGUCGGAGUCGCUAGUAAUCGCAGAUCAGCAACGCUGCGGUGAAUACGUUCCCGGGUCU
rnacentral:rRNA from 1 species